rnacentral:rRNA from 1 species
AAGCUCGUAGUUGAAUUUCGGGUUAGUAGGUUGGUCAUGCCUCUGGUAUGUACUGGUCUCACUGAUUCCUCCUUCCUGAUGAACCGUAAUGCCAUUAAUUUGGUGUUGCGGGGAAUUUGGACUGCUACUUUGAAAAAAUUAGAGUGUUUAAAGCAAGCUAACGCUUGAAUACAUUAGCAUGGAAUAAUGAAAUAGGACGUUCGAUCCUAUUUUGUUGGUUUCUAGGAUUGACGUAAUGAUUAAUAGGGAUAGUUGGG